GACGAACGCUGGCGGCGUGCCUAAUACAUGCAAGUUGAGCGAUGAAGAUUGGUGCCUGCACCAAUUUGAAGAGCAGCGAACGGGUGAGUAACGCGUGGGGAAUCUGCCUUUGAGCGGGGGACAACAUUUGGAAACGAAUGCUAAUACCGCAUAACAACUUUAAACAUAAGUUUUAAGUUUGAAAGAUGCAAUUGCAUCACUCAAAGAUGAUCCCGCGUUGUAUUAGCUAGUUGGUGUGGUAAAGGCUCACCAAGGCGAUGAUACAUAGCCGACCUGAGAGGGUGAUCGGCCACAUUGGGACUGAGACACGGCCCAAACUCCUACGGGAGGCAGCAGUAGGGAAUCUUCGGCAAUGGACGAAAGUCUGACCGAGCAACGCCGCGUGAGUGAAGAAGGUUUUCGGAUCGUAAAACUCUGUUGGUAGAGAAGAACGUUGGUGAGAGUGGAAAGCUCAUCAAGUGACGGUAACUACCCAGAAAGGGACGGCUAACUACGUG
rnacentral:rRNA from 1 species